rnacentral:lncRNA from 1 species
CUGGGAGCAACAACAUGGAGUCGUGGUCAGAUUUGCCAAAAGGAGGGCGAGGGAGGGCUUUGUAUGCGUCGUGGAAGUUAGAGUAGCAAUGAUCAAGGAAUUCUAGGUCAGGUGAACAAGAGGACUUGAUUUCCUGUAUGUUUUUAUGAACACGACCACGAUUUGUUAAUACAUCCCCGCCUUGCUUCUUACUAGAGCUGUUUGUUUCUGUCGGCGCGAUGCAUGAAGAAACCGGGGGGCUGUACUGACUCUGAUAACGUAUCCCGAGUGAGUCAUGUUUCCGUGAAACAGAGAAUGUUACAAUUUCUGAUGUCUCUCUGGAAGGCAACCCUUGCUCGAAUUUCGUCUACCUUGUUGUGAAGAGACUGGACAUUGGUGAGUAGUAUAUUCGGGAGCGGUGAGCGAUGUGCCCGUCUAUGGAGCCUGAUCAGAAGACCGCUCCGUCUGCCCCUUCUGCGGCGCCAUUGUUUUGGGUCGCCUUCUGGGAUUUGAUCCGUUGUCCUGGGUGGUGGUCCAAACAGAGGAUCUGCUUCAGGAAAGUCGUAUUCCUGGUCGUAAUGUUGUUAUUAAGAAAGCAGCAGUAUGCAUGUGGCUGGCUGAGGCUCCAUGUUUAUCCACCUGGCUGGGUUGGCUGUCCUGCACCACACCUGGCUACUGGUCUUCCUCUCACGCCAGAUGUGGACUUAGUCACGGCCACGAAGAAUAGCCCCCGCUGAAGGUGAACCUGGCUGCAAUCAGUACCCAACCCUAACCUUUAAAUCCAGAUGCUUUUCCUCCCCUCCCGGCUGGUUGGAAGGUGCUCCCGCUGCCCUAAAGGUUAAUUGAUUUUCCUUCCCCUUGUGCAGCCUGCUCAAAUCACUCCAGGACAGGAGAUUGAGUAAUGGGGAAAUAUGCAUAGCAUGCUAUCCAUAUCCUAACAGCUUGUCGAGCAUAUGCCAUAUCCAGUGUUCAAUCUAAUCUGG